rnacentral:rRNA from 1 species
UACGUAGGUGGCAAGCGUUACUCGGAAUCACUAGGCGUAAAGCGCAGGUAGGCGGCUCGGUAAGUCUCUUGUGAAAGCUCCCGGCUCAACUGGGAGAGGUCAAGGGAAACUACCGGGCUAGAGUAUGGUAGAGGAGACUGGAAUUCCCGGUGUAGCGGUGAAAUGCGUAGAUAUCGGGAGGAAUACCUAUGGCGAAAGCAGGUCUCUGGGCCAUCACUGACGCUGAGCUGCGAAAGCUAGGGGAGCAAACAGG